CAUGUCUACAACACAGAGUUAAUGCACUGGAUACCAUUAGAACUCCACAGUUAAGCGCGCUCAGGCUAGAGUAGUACUGGGAUGGGUGACCGCUCGAGAAGUCCUAGUGUUUUACAUGC
rnacentral:rRNA from 1 species